rnacentral:rRNA from 1 species
ACAAAAGCGCAUGUGCUGUGAGCUCGAUGAGUAGGGCGGGACACGUGGUAUCCUGUCUGAAUAUGGGGGGACCAUCCUCCAAGGCUAAAUACUCCUGACUGACCGAUAGUGAACCAGUACCGUGAGGGAAAGGCGAAAAGAACCCCGGCGAGGGGAGUGAAAAAGAACCUGAAACCGUGUACGUACAAGCAGUGGGAGCACCCUUUGGGUGUGACUGCGUACCUUUUGUAUAAUGGGUCAGCGACUUAUAUUCUGUAGCAAGGUUAACCGAAUAGGGGAGCCGGAGGGAAACCGAGUCUUAACCGGGCGUUAAGUUGCAGGGUAUAGACCCGAAACCCGGUGAUCUAGCCAUGGGCAGGUUGAAGGUUGGGUAACACUAACUGGAGGACCGAACCGACUAAUGUUGAAAAAUUAGCGGAUGACCUGUGGCUGGGGGUGAAAGGCCAAUCAAACCGGGAGAUAGCUGGUUCUCCCCGAAAGCUAUUUAGGUAGCGCCUCGUGAAUUCAUCUCCGGGGGUAGAGCACUGUUUCGGCUAGGGGGCCAUCCCGGCUUACCAACCCGAUGCAAACUGCGAAUACCGGAGAAUGUUAUCACGGGAGACACACGGCGGGUGCUAACGUCCGUCGUGAAGAGGGAAACAACCCAGACCGCCAGCUAAGGUCCCAAAGUCAUGGUUAAGUGGGAAACGAUGUGGGAAGGCCCAGACAGCCAGGAUGUUGGCUUAGAAGCAGCCAUCAUUUAAAGAAAGCGUAAUAGCUCACUGGUCGAGUCGGCCUGCGCGGAAGAUGUAACGGGGCUAAACCAUGCACCGAAGCUGCGGCAGCGACACUGUGUGUUGUUGGGUAGGGGAGCGUUCUGUAAGCCUGUGAAGGUGUGUCGUGAGGCAUGCUGGAGGUAUCAGAAGUGCGAAUGCUGACAUAAGUAACGAUAAAGCGGGUGAAAAGCCCGCUCGCCGGAAGACCAAGGGUUCCUGUCCAACGUUAAUCGGGGCAGGGUGAGUCGACCCCUAAGGCGAGGCCGAAAGGCGUAGUCGAUGGGAAACGGGUUAAUAUUCCCGUACUUGGUGUUACUGCGAAGGGGGGACGGAGAAGGCUAUGUUGGCCGGGCGACGGUUGUCCCGGUUUAAGCGUGUAGGUGUGUGUUCCAGGUAAAUCCGGUUCACUUUAACACUGAGGCGUGACGACGAGGCACUACGGUGCUGAAGCAACAAAUGCCCUGCUUCCAGGAAAA